GCGCCCGUAGCUCAGCUGGAUAGAGCGUUGGCCUCCGGAGCCAAAGGUCAGAGGUUCGAACCCUCUCGGGCGCGCCA
rnacentral:tRNA from 4 species